GAACCGGCUUCGAGAUUAGCGACAGGUGAGUGGAUGACACAGCUGAGAGUGUUUGUCUAAUCACCUGUCGCUCUGUUAAAGGCGGCAGUCGGGAAGGAGUGGGGGGGUGAAUGGCAGUUGGCGGAGCACGAAGAGAGCACGACUUUCCCUGUCGUCGCUCGGGUUCCACUGACCACCCAGGAAGGACAUGCUUGUUGAGCAGAAAGUUGCCAGGAAGUCAGCCUGGCGACUUUACCUCUCUUCACCUUCUGUCAUAACGUGGACUGUGAGGUUUGUUUUCCUGGAAGGCAAAGGAAAGUUGGCGCGGGCAAGGCGAGAAGCUGGUGGCCAAAAGACUGCCGUCUGUGUUGAAGGACAUGCUGAGGAUGACGUCCGUGUGGCAGUCAAUCAUCUUCACUGGCUCGCCGAUCUCCAGGUUCCAAAUGAGGACCUUAAAAAGAGAGGUUUUGAAGCUACAAUGUUCUCGAAGAAGGGAUUCCACUUGAUGUCCAGCACGUUGCCUUGGUGGCCACAUACUUUUGGGUAGUGAGAGUCCAGACGGCCUGCCUGCAAGAGAGAGACAGAAGCACGUAUGUUUCUCUUCCGGAUUUUUAUGCAUUGUCAAAGUCUGAUCAAAUUUAAAAUCUUAAAGGAUUAUGUGCAUACACAUGGACCGAAAAUGAGGUCAUUGUUCAUAUUUAAUCCAAAAAUGGAAUAGAAAGAGAAGAACACCAGAGGAGUGUUGUUGCAAUAACCACUUGUGUCCAACUUGGGGCGCUGUCUCACAAUAACAAGUAGUCAUACACUGUCAUGACUGUCACUUCAGUCUUCAAUCCAAUGACCUCGUUUUUUUUAAUGCCUAAGAGAUUUGUGUUACGUCACAUUCUGUGAAUUCAGCCCUAUGUGUUCAGGGUUGAUGUGUGUGUUGAUUACUGUGUCAUCCUCUAAAGAUGAAGACUUCACAUUAAAUGGCAGCUGUGCCCCUUAUUUCUGACACAUGAAUGGAUUAAAGCAGUGGUCCCCAACCACUGGGCCGCAGAAUAAAUAUUUAUUUUUUUAAAUUAAAUCAACUUAAAAAACACAAUAUACACUUACAAUUAGUGCACCAACCCAACCCAAAAAAACCUCCCUUUUUCAUGGGGGACAAAUGAUCAAGCGUUGACCGGUCCGCAGCUACAAAAAGGUUGGUGACCACUGGAUUAAAGCACCCUAGAACCAGAAAAUGAUCUGCACCUAGAAAAAUACUUUAUUGAAUGUUGAAAAAAUUUAAAUGAGCAGUAACAUAGGCUUAAAUUAUACCGGGAAAACAAUAGCCAAUCUAAUGAGGACAUAUAAUUCAAUAUACAGUAAAUAGGGCUGUGGAUCUUUGGGUGUCCCACGAUUUGAUUCAAUAUCGAUUCUUGGGGUCACGAUUCGAUAAUAUACCGCUUUUUUUUCAAUUCGAUUCGAUUCUCGAUUCAAAAACGAUAUUUUUCCGAUUCAAAACGAUUUCGUAUUCAUUCAAUAGGAUUUCAGCAGAAUCUACCCCAGUCUGCUGAUAUGCAAGCAGAGUAGUAGAUUAAAAAAAAAAAAAAAAAGCUUUUAUAAUUGUAAAGGACAAUGUUUUAUCAACUGAUUGCAAUAAUGUAAAUUUGUUUUAACUAUUAAACAAACCAAAAAUAUGACUUAUUUUAUCUUUGUGAAAAUAUUGGACACAGUGUGUUGUCAAGCUUAUGAGAUGCGAUGCAAGUGUAAGCCACUGUGACACCAUUGUUUUAUUUUUAUUUUUAUAAAUGUCUGAUUAUAAAGUCAAUGAGGGAUUUUUAAUCAAUGCUAUGCUGAAAUUAUAACUAAUAUUGAUACUGUUGAUAAUAUUAAUUUUUUUGUUUCACUACUUUUGGUUUGUUCUGUGUCGUGUUUGUGUCUCAAUUUCUCUGUUUAUUGCAGUUCUGAGUGUUGCUGGGUCAGGUUCGGUUUUGGAAUUGGAUUGCAUUGUUAUGGUAUUGCUGUGUAGUGGUUUGUUGGAUUGAAUAAAAAAAAUAAAUCUAUUUAAAAAAAAAAAAAAGAGAAUUGAUUCUGAAUCGCACAACGUAUUCGAUUUGAAUCGAUUUUUUUCCCACUCCUCCUAGUAAAUAGAGUACUUCAUACUGUAUAUAUGGGAAUCUAGUUAGAAGGUAGAGUGUGGAUGUUUUAUUGGGCUUUUGUAAAAUUUUAAUAUUUCACUUAAAAAAACAACACAGCAUUAAAAAUGCUGAGAUGAAAUAUAGUUGGGAAAGUUCAAUUACAUUGCUUGAAUCAAAUCAACAAUGUUAAAAAAAAAAAUGUGAACGUUUCGUUUGAGCUGGAUAGGCAACCCUAACUUUGGACACGUCACUCAACACGAACAUCAUGACGUCAUCAAAGCUCACUUAAAACAGACACAGCACUAAUAUUUUGGAAGAAAGAUGAAGUGAUGGAAAAAAAAAAAGUUGCCAUUAUUUACAAGUUUCAUUGCACAUAACCGUGGUGCAUUCAAGGACCCUCGAUAAAGUUAGAAACAGUCACUAGGUUUUAAAGACAGGGAGAGCUUAACGUCCAAGAGAUAUGUCCAUCCAUCCAUCCAAAUAUGUUCAUAGUAAUAUUCAUGUAUUAGGAUUUGUAUUACGUGCUGAUAAUUGUACAUGAAUAAGAAAAUCUCUACAUUCUGAAGAAAAUGAGAACUUGACGGAUUUGUAGUUUUAUUAAAAUGAAUAAUGAUUACUUAGAUGUAUACUUUAUAAUGUAUUUGUUUGCACUUUUUUGUAAAAAAAACAAAAAAACAACCCAACAAACAUCAAUGUCACAAUCUGGUCGCGUUUAAAAAUGUCGCAUUUCUCAGGACCAGCGGGAGGCAAAGUGCAGGUAAGAAUAUUGAAUUUUACGGGAGGCAAAAAAAUAACGAAAGGCUCUAGCAGAUAGCAUACACUUAAACGCAAAAUCAAGAGCGCAACAUGUUGCGUGAAGCAAACAUUGAUCCAACGACUAAUGCUGGGUCACUGAGGAAUAUAAAAGGGAGUGAGACUAUGAAUUGUAAACUGAAGACAGGUGUGUUCAUUUCGUGUCCAUGGCAACAAAAGUCAAAGGGAACAGCACAGAGGACAAAACCCAACACUAAACUGCAAAGAUACCCGAAACACAAAACAAGGAAAUUGUUGCGAUCCGCUGCUCUGAUCGCUCAAUUUUGUAGUUUUGAUUCAUUUUUGUAUCACUCUCCGUUGUUUGACUCCUUAGUUCCUGUUUAGUCUGUCACCAUGGCUACAUAUUAGUUCCACCUGCUACUCUCGAUUCCCGCACACCUGUUUUACUAAUCACCAUCCUAUAUAAGCCAGCCUUUUCUGUUCACUCAUUUUCGGACUCUAAUUUACCUUCGUGCAACAGUGGAUCACUUGUUUUUUAUGCUCUCACGCUACGCUUCAUUUUAUUGCUGGCUCUCAUGCUAAUCCUUUUGUUUUCCCUUUUUGUGCCUUCGUGCCAAGUUUAGUUUUUCUAUUCAUCUUCCAUGCUAGCGGCAUUUGUUUGCCUUUCUGUUAGCACCAGUGUUUUUGUUCUUAGCCUGUUUUGAGUUAAAUAAAUUUUUCUUACCUCAAGCUGUGUUCUUGCCCGACAAAUCCCUGGAGGAACAAAUCCGGCAUCUCUAUGCCGCACAAGCUUCACGGAAAUUGAGCCAUGACAAUCAAACC